rnacentral:rRNA from 1 species
CCUACGGGUGGCAGCAGUGGGGAAUAUUGCACAAUGGGCGAAAGCCUGAUGCAGCAACGCCGCGUGAGCGAUGAAGGCCUUCGGGUCGUAAAGCUCUGUCCUCAAGGAAGAUAAUGAUGGAACUUGAGGAGGAAGCCCCGGCAAACUACGUGCCAGCGGCCGGGGUAAUACGUAGGGGGCUAGAGUUAUCCGGAAGUACUGGGCGAAAGGGGUGCGUAGGGGGUUUUUAAGGUAAGGGGUGAAAGGCUACGGCCCAACCGUAGUAAGCCUUUGAAACGGGGAAACUUGAGUGCAGGAGGGGAGAGUGGAAGUCCUGGUGUGGCGGUGAAAGGCGUAGAUAUUAGGAGGAACACCAGUUGCGAAGGCGGCUCUCGGUACUGUAACUGCCACUGGGGCACGAAAGCGUGGGGAGCAAACAGGAUUAGAUACCCUUGUAGC